rnacentral:rRNA from 1 species
UACGUAGGGGGCAAGCGUUGUCCGGAAUCAUUGGGCGUAAAGCGCGCGUAGGCGGAUCUGCAAGUCGGGGGUGAAAGCCCGAGGCUCAACCUCGGAACUGCCUUCGAUACUGCGGGUCUCGAGUCCGGGAGAGGUGAGUGGAAUUCCUAGUGUAGAGGUGAAAUUCGUAGAUAUUAGGAAGAACACCAGUGGCGAAGGCGGCUCACUGGCCCGGUACUGACGCUGAGGCGCGAAAGCGUGGGGAGCAAACAGG